rnacentral:rRNA from 1 species
ACUACACUCCUGCGGGAGGCAGCAGUGGGGAAUAUUGGACAAUGGGCGCAAGCCUGAUCCAGCCAUGCCGCGUGAGUGAUGAAGGCCCUAGGGUUGUAAAGCUCUUUCACCGGUGAAGAUAAUGACGGUAACCGGAGAAGAAGCCCCGGCUAACUUCGUGCCAGCAGCCGCGGUAAUACGAAGGGGGCUAGCGUUGUUCGGAUUUACUGGGCGUAAAGCGCACGUAGGCGGACUAUUAAGUCAGGGGUGAAAUCCCGGGGCUCAACCCCGGAACUGCCUUUGAUACUGGUAGUCUUGAGUUCGAGAGAGGUGAGUGGAAUUCCGAGUGUAGAGGUGAAAUUCGUAGAUAUUCGGAGGAACACCAGUGGCGAAGGCGGCUCACUGGCUCGAUACUGACGCUGAGGUGCGAAAGCGUGGGGAGCAAACAGGAUUAGAUACCCUAGUAGUCCC